rnacentral:rRNA from 1 species
UCGGAUUAGCUAGUUGGUGGGGUAAAGGCCUACCAAGGCGACGAUCUGUAGCGGGUCUGAGAGGAUGAUCCGCCACACUGGGACUGAGACACGGCCCAGACUCCUACGGGAGGCAGCAGUGGGGAAUAUUGGACAAUGGGCGCAAGCCUGAUCCAGCCAUGCCGCGUGUGUGAAGAAGGCCUUUUGGUUGUAAAGCACUUUAAGCGAGGAGGAGGCUCCUUUAGUUAAUACCUAAAGAGAGUGGACGUUACUCGCAGAAUAAGCACCGGCUAACUCUGUGCCAGCAGCCGCGGUAAUACAGAGGGUGCGAGCGUUAAUCGGAUUUACUGGGCGUAAAGCGUGCGUAGGCGGCUUUUUAAGUCGGAUGUGAAAUCCCUGAGCUUAACUUAGGA